GAUGAACGCUGGCGGCGUGCCUAAUACAUGCAAGUCGAGCGAACAGACGAGGAGCUUGCUCCUCUGACGUUAGCGGCGGACGGGUGAGUAACACGUGGAUAACCUACCUCUAAGACUGGGAUAACUUCGGGAAACCGGAGCUAAUACCGGAUAAUAUAUUGAACCGCAUGGUUCAAUAGUGAAAGACGGUUUUGCUGUCACUUAUAGAUGGUUCCGCGCCGCAUUAGCUAGUUGGUAAGGUAACGGCUUACCAAGGCAACGAUGCGUAGCCGACCUGAGAGGGUGAUCGGCCACACUGGAACUGAGACACGGUCCAGACUCCUACGGGAGGCAGCAGUAGGGAAUCUUCCGCAAUGGGCGAAAGCCUGACGGAGCAACGCCGCGUGAGUGAUGAAGGUCUUCGGAUCGUAAAACUCUGUUAUUAGGGAAGAACAAAUGUGUAAGUAACUAUGCACGUCUUGACGGUACCUAAUCAGAAAGCCACGGCUAACUACGUG
rnacentral:rRNA from 1 species